rnacentral:rRNA from 1 species
AGAGUUUGAUCGAUGGCUCAGAACGAACGCUGGCGGCAUGCCUAACACAUGCAAGUCGAACGAGACCUUCGGGUCUAGUGGCGCACGGGUGCGUAACGCGUGGGGAUCUGCCCUUUAGCUUCGGAAUAACAGUUAGAAAUGACUGCUAAUACCGGAUGAUGACUUCGGUCCAAAGAUUUAUCGGCAAAGGAUGAACCCGCGUAGGAUUAGCUAGUUGGUGGGGUAAAAGGCCUACCAAGGCGACGAUCCUUAGCUGGUCUGAGAGGAUGAUCAGCCACACUGGGACUGAGACACGGCCCAGACUCCUACGGGAGGCAGCAGUGGGAAUAUUGGACAAUGGGCGAAAGCCUGAUCCAGCAAUGCCGCGUGAGUGAUGAAGGCCUUAGGGUUGUAAAGCUCUUUUACCCGGGAUGAUAAUGACAGUACCGGGAGAAUAAGCUCCGGCUAACUCCGUG